rnacentral:rRNA from 1 species
UACGUAGGUGGCAAGCGUUGUCCGGAAUUACUGGGUGUAAAGGGAGCGCAGGCGGGAAGCCAAGUCAGCUGUGAAAACUACGGGCUUAACUUGUAGACUGCAGUUGAAACUGGUUUUCUUGAGUGAAGUAGAGGUUGGCGGAAUUCCGAGUGUAGCGGUGAAAUGCGUAGAUAUUCGGAGGAACACCGGUGGCGAAGGCGGCCAACUGGGCUUUAACUGACGCUGAGGUUCGAAAGCGUGGGUAGCAAACAGG